rnacentral:rRNA from 1 species
AGAGCGAACGCUGGCGGCAGGCCUAAUACAUGCAAGUCGAACGGAUCCUUCGGGAUUAGUGGCGGACGGGUGAGUAACACGUGGGAACGUGCCCUUUGGUUCAGAACAACUCAGGGAAACUUGAGCUAAUACUGGAUAAGCCCUUCGGGGGAAAGAUUUAUCGCCAUUGGAGCGGCCCGCGUCUGAUUAGCUAGUUGGUAGGGUAAAGGCCUACCAAGGCUACGAUCAGUAGCUGGUCUGAGAGGAUGAUCAGCCACACUGGGACUGAGACACGGCCCAGACUCCUACGGGAGGCAGCAGUGGGGAAUAUUGGACAAUGGGGGCAACCCUGAUCCAGCAAUGCCGCGUGUGUGAAGAAGGUCUUCGGAUUGUAAAGCACUUUCGACGGGGACGAUGAUGACGGUACCCGUAUAAGAAGCCCCGGCUAACUUCGUGCCAGCAGCCGC